ACACGACUACAUUAGAAUACCCGUGUAGUCCUAGCCGUAAACGAUACUCGCUAGGUGUCGGCCACGGUGCGACCGUUGUCGGUGCCGUAGGGAAGCCGUGAAGCGAGCCACCUGGGAAGUACGGCCGCAAGGCUGAAACUUAAAGGAAUUGGCGGGGGAGCACAACAACGGGUGGAGCUUGCGGUUUAAUUGGAUUCAACGCCGGAAAUCUUACCGGGACCGACAGCAACAUGAAGGCCAGGCUGAAGACUUUGCCGGAUUAGCUG
rnacentral:rRNA from 1 species